AAGACCUUGCGCUUUUGGAGCGGCCGAUGCCUGAUUAGCUAGUUGGUGGGGUAAUGGCCUACCAAAGCUUCGAUCAGUAGCUGGUCUGAGAGGACGGCCAGCCACACUGGGACUGAGACACGGCCCAGACUCCUACGGGAGGCAGCAGUGGGGAAUUUUGGACAAUGGGCGCAAGCCUGAUCCAGCCAUGCCGCGUGGGUGAAGAAGGCCUUCGGGUUGUAAAGCUCUUUCAGCCGGGAAGAAAAGGUUGCGAUUAAUAAUCGCAAUUUAUGACGGUACCGGAAGAAGAAGCACCGGCUAACUACGUGCCAGCAGCCGCGGUAAUACGUAGGGUGCGAGCGUUAAUCGGAAUUACUGGGCGUAAAGGGUGCGCAGGCGGUUUUGUAAGUCAGAUGUGAAAUCCCCGGGCUUAACCUGGGAACU
rnacentral:rRNA from 1 species